CCAAUAGCGUAUAUUAAAGUUGUUGCAGUUAAAAAGCUCGUAGUUGAAUUUCGGGAUUGACGUGAUGGUCGUGCCUUAAGGGGUAUGAACUGUUGCUGUUGAUUUCUCACCUUCUGGAGAAACUUGAUGUCCUUAAUUGGGUGUCUUGCGGAUCCAGGACCUUUACCUUGAAAAAAUUAGAGUGUUUAAAGCAGGCAUUU
rnacentral:rRNA from 2 species